AACGAACGCUGGCGGCAUGCCUAACACAUGCAAGUCGAACGAGACCUUCGGGUCUAGUGGCGCACGGGUGCGUAACGCGUGGGAAUCUGCCCUUCGGUUGGGAAUAACUGAGAGAAAUUUCAGCUAAUACCUUAUAAUGUCUUCGGACCAAAGAUUUAUCGCCGAGGGAUGAGCCCGCGUAGGAUUAGGUAGUUGGUGGGGUAAUGGCCUACCAAGCCGACGAUCCUUAGCUGGUCUGAGAGGAUGAUCAGCCACACUGGGACUGAGACACGGCCCAGACUCCUACGGGAGGCAGCAGUGGGGAAUAUUGGACAAGGGGCGAAAGCCUGAUCCAGCAAUGCCGCGUGAGUGAUGAAGGCCUUAGGGUUGUAAAGCUCUGUUACCCGGGAUGAUAAUGACAGUACCGGGAGAAUAAGCGCCGGCUAACUCCGUG
rnacentral:rRNA from 1 species